rnacentral:rRNA from 1 species
GACGAACGCUGGCGGCGUGCUUAACACAUGCAAGUCGAACGGAAAGGCCCUGCUUUUGUGGGGUGCUCGAGUGGCGAACGGGUGAGUAACACGUGAGUAACCUGCCCUUGACUUUGGGAUAACUUCAGGAAACUGGGGCUAAUACCGGAUAGGAGCUCCUGCUGCAUGGUGGGGGUUGGAAAGUUUCGGCGGUUGGGGAUGGACUCGCGGCUUAUCAGCUUGUUGGUGGGGUAGUGGCUUACCAAGGCUUUGACGGGUAGCCGGCCUGAGAGGGUGACCGGCCACAUGGGGACUGAGAUACGGCCCAGACUCCUACGGGAGGCAGCAGUGGGGAAUAUUGCACAAUGGGCGGAAGCCUGAUGCAGCAACGACGCGUGCGGGAUGACGGCCUUCGGGUUGUAAACCGCUUUCGCCUGUGACGAAGCGUGAGUGACGGUAAUGGGUAAAGAAGCACCGGCUAACUACGU